rnacentral:rRNA from 1 species
UACGAAGGGGGCUAGCGUUGCUCGGAAUCACUGGGCGUAAAGCGCACGUAGGCGGAUUGUUAAGUCAGGGGUGAAAUCCUGGAGCUCAACUCCAGAACUGCCUUUGAUACUGGCGAUCUUGAGUCCGGGAGAGGUGAGUGGAACUGCGAGUGUAGAGGUGAAAUUCGUAGAUAUUGCAAGAACACCAGUGGCGAAGGCGGCUCACUGGCCCGGUACUGACGCUGAGGUGCGAAAGCGUGGGGAGCAAACAGGG